AUAAGUUACAAAGGGCGUACAGUGGAUGCCUAGGCACCGAAAGACGAAGAAGGACGCGACUACCUGCGAAAAGCUGCGGCGAGUUGGACGUAAACUUUGACCCGCAGAUGUCCGAAUGGGGAAACCCGAUAUGCUAACUACAUAUCAUACGAGCGGUGAAUACAUAGCCGCCGUAAGGCAACCCAGGGAAUUGAAACAUCUUAGUACCUGGAGGAAAAGAAAGAGAAUCGAUUCCGUCAGUAGCGGCGAGCGAAAGCGGAAGAGCCCAAACCAAGAAAUUGGGGUUCGGGGUUACAAAGAAUCAUGACGAAGAAGAAGAAGUGUUUGGAAUGGCACAUCUAAGAGGGUGAAAAUCCCGUAUUCGUAAGAGAGUCAUGGUCGUAACUACCAGAGUAGGGCGGGGCACGUGAAACCCUGUCUGAAUGAGCGGAGACCACUCCGUAAGGCUAAAUACUCUUCGGUGACCGAUAGUGAACCAGUACCGUGAGGGAAAGGUGAAAAGAACCCCGGGAGGGGAGUGAAAAGAAUCUGAAACUGUAUGCUUACAAGAUGUCAGAGACCGUUAAAGGUUGAUGACGUGCCUAUUGAAGAAUGAGCCGGCGAGUUAUGUAUACAUGCGAGGUUAAGGAGAAGAUCCGGAGCCGUAGCGAAAGCGAGUCUGAAUAGGGCGUUCAGUAUGUGUAUGUAGACCCGAAACCCGACGAUCUAGCCAUGAUCAAGAUGAAGUAAGGGUCAAACCUUAUGGAGGUCUGAACCGACGUUCGUUGAAACGACCGCGGAUGAAUUGUGGCUCGUGGUGAAAUUCCAAUCGAGUCGGGUAAUAGCUGGUUCUCCUCGAAAUAGCUUUAGGGCUAGCCUCAGAACACUACAUUUUGGAGGUAGAGCACUGAAUGAAAGCGAGCCGCGCCAAGCGGUAUCAAUUUCAAUCAAACUCCGAAUUCCGAGAUGCUUAUUCUGGGAGUCAGACUGUGGGAGAUAAGUUUCAUGGUCAAAAGGGCAACAGCCCGGACCGCCAACUAAGGUCCCUAAAUUCGCGCUAAGUGUUAAAGGAUGUAGAGAUACUUAAACAGCUAGGAUGUUGGCUCAGAGGCAGCCAUCAUUUAAAGAAUGCGUAACAGCUCACUAGUCAAGUGUCUCCGCGCCGAAAAUUUACCGGGGCUAAGCGCGAUACCGAAGUUGCGGAUAUUUCUAAAGAAAUGUGGUAGGGGAGCGUUCCAUUAGCAUAGAAGCCAUACCGGAAGGAGUGGUGGAGCGAAUGGAAGUGAGAAUGCCGGCGUAAGUAACGAUAAGAGGUGAGAAUCCUCUUCACCAUUUGACUAAGGUUUCCUGGGCUAGGUUCGUCCACCCAGGGUCAGUCGGGACCUAAGACGAGGCCGAAAGGCGUAGCCGAUGGACAGCAGGUUAAUAUUCCUGAACCCGGUUGUGUGCGAUCGCAGUGACGAAAGCGGUUAGGUUUACCCACGAAUGGAAGUGUGGGGAGAUAGUGAUAAGCUGUCGGCUAGAAUCCGACACCAAGUGAAACACCGAAGUACGAAAGGGGUGACCUGAGUAGGAAGUAGCUGAUACCGAUUUCCAAGAAAAGCUGCUAGCUUAAGCACAAUCGGCCCGUACCGAGAACGGACACACGUGGUCAAGGAGAGUAUCCUAAGGUGAGCGAGAUAACUGUUGUUAAGGAACUCUGCAAAAUUACUUCGUAAGUUAGCGAGAAGAAGUGCUCCGUAAAAGGAGCCGCAGUGAAGAGGCCCAAGUAACUGUUUACCAAAAACACAGCUCUAUGCUAAGUCGUAAGACGAUGUAUAUGGGGUGAAGCCUGCCCGGUGCCGGAAGGUUAAUAGGAGAGGUGAAAGCUUUGAAUUGAAGCCCCGGUGAACGGCGGCCGUAACUAUAACGGUCCUAAGGUAGCGAAAUUCCUUGUCAGGUAAG
rnacentral:rRNA from 1 species